UCACCAGAGUCCACACACUUAACUGUAAUUCUAUUUUGCUUGUCGAGGCAGUUGUGGUUCAUACCCAUGCUACUACAAAACGCGCGCUAGGAGUGCCCGAGGUAGCUGAUUUACUGCCGAAAUUCGAAGUUGAUGUUACCCAUCAAAAACGAAUGCGAGGCAGCGAGCGAGGUAGUUGCGAUAAAAAUGCAUCAUUUACGCCGUCGUUAAACGAUAGUAUUCUUCUGUAUAUUCGAACGAUCAACAAGACAAACAGUUUCGAAGAAUAAUAUGAGUUCGCCAACGUUAGCUCGGUUAUUAAUGAAAUGACCGGAACUGAAACUAGAUGCCUUCAAGAUUGGGAAUCUGAAUGUCACUUAGAGCCUGUGGGGAAAAGGAAUUUCCAAAUCAUGUUCUAGGAAUAUCAUCUAAUAUCGAAUUCACUUGACCGGUGGAAUCAUAGAUAUAGAGAGGACUAUAUAUCUAUUGGUGGAAUUGCCUACACCCAAGUGGAAUUCAGAAUGGUCUUUCUUUGCAGCUAAACCAAAGGGAUGGCCCGACCCAGGGGAGGUGGAGGGCCCGGUUACAACAACACCCGCUCCCAUAAUGGACAGUGGGUAGGACAUUUUCACAAAAUUGACCAAGAUGACAGUGGUCCUACUGAGUGCAACUUUGGACAAUAUUUAAUCAGCCUCUUCAAACCACUUAUGGUUAAGAGUGGUCGAUAAAGGAAGAGGUACCUAAGAUUCUUCAAACAGCCAGAUGUCAAAAAAUCAUACAAGACAUUAUCUUCUAAAAUUUCAAGAUUUAAAAUCAGGAUGUGCAGUUCCAUUAAACCACUGCAUUUUGUAAGGAAAAUUGACAAAUCCUCUACAGAUAUAGAUAACCCCUCCAGAUUCAAGUGAGUUAAAUUAGUGAAAUAGAGUAAAUCUGAGCCAAAAGAGGAGUAAGGCAAGUCUGGCUGAAUUGGGUUAUUAUUAAGUUUCAAGGUAAAUUUCCUUAAAUUAGGACAAGUUCUUAUUAUAUUCUGCAAAUGAGUUCUUGUGAAUAUCAAACUCAUUGGAGCCAUGGAGAGAUGUUCAAUGGUUAGCGAUUCAAUAUUCUUGCCACAAAUUUCUAGAUACCAGAGUAAUGCUGGCAUACUACAAUUCAUAACAUCCAGAGUUUCAAUAGGUAGUCCUAAUAAAUUAGCAAGUAUA